CCUUCCUGCCGCUCCCUCGCUCCCCUUCACCGGGGGAGACAUGUAACGGAACCGGGGCGCCAGCGCGGCAUUGUGGGAGCUCUUAAAGCCGCAGCCGCCCCCGCCGCCCCGGCAGCCUCGGGAGGCGGCGGCGCUGCAGCCUCGGCAGAGUGGAGUCCCUGCGAGCCGUGUCCGGCACCCGGAGCCGCCGCCCCGGCAGCCUGAGGCACUGCAGCCUCGGCCGAGGGCAGCCCCGUGCCCGGAGCCGCCGCCCCGGCAGCCUGAGGCGCUGCAGCCUCGGCCGAGGGGAGCCCCGGAGCCGGGGCCGCCCGCCCUCCUCCACAGCCCACGAGCCCCGGCCGCGCCGGAGACCUCAGGUUGCUCUGCUGUUUUCUACGAGAUUUUAACCGGCAGACAGCGUGCUGUGUUGUGGCUGAUUCGGAUUUUGAUGAUGGAAAAUUCCCCGGAAAAAAAAACCGAAAAAGCAACAAAACCCAACCUCAUAAACCUCAGAGCAGCAAAGACUGCAGGCGGCUGUUUGGGGCAAAAAGUUUUUGAGUAUGAAGUUUUAAUCGGUUUUGGGAUAAUGACCAUUAAAAAAAUCCGAAACCUAUUUGGAAAUGAACUUGAGCGCAGAACUGUGAUGCACAGGCAUUUUUCGCUGUGUGCAAACACUGGCGCAGGGUCUGCUCUUGGUUCUCCGCAGUAGAGCAGCAGCAGUCAGUCCCAGCUCUUCCCAGGGCUUGUGGCCUUCCCAAAACUGCCUGUGCCAUGUCCACGACACACCAGUCAUUUAAAGAAGAAUCUCAUCAAAAGAACAGUUUUUUCCUGUUUGUGCUAUCACUGUUCCUCUUGCGGGUUUUGAGCAUCCCGAAGCGUUUUUAUGGAGGUGUGUUUUUUUUAAUUCCUGGUCCUUCAGCAGAGAGCAGGGUUUUGCUUCCACACAACUCUCUGCUGGUGCUACAUGGAGGACAUUUUCAAGACUACACGCAUAACUUCAGUUUAGAUAUGAGCAAAUAAAUAUUUGAGAUUUGGGUUUGGGGAUGUUUGUACAAAUAUUCCUAAUAGGUCUGGAUCUUGGGUUAUGAUCGCAUCUUUUCUCAUGGGUUCAUUUUCCUAAGCAGAUUUUUUGUAAGCACACCUCCGAAGUUCCUGCUGAAAGAGUCUUCAGAAGGCUGUCACUUUUAUUUCUUUGUCUAGGCCUUUUUAUCCUCUUUUACAGGAAGAGGUGCUAAGCAGCGUAUGAGAAGAGCCCUGAGCACAACAUGAAGUGAAGAUGUGUUUGUAAAAAUUAGAUUAUUCUGUUGGGGACCAUGUGCUUUCUGUGGUCAGUUGCACACAAACACUCACCUUCCGUUUCAGAAACUUUAAAGAAAACAACGCUUGAGGGAUAAAAGGAAAAAGGAAUGGUGCUGAUGACCAGUUCUGCACUCCACUGGCAGCUACCUCUGCCCUUGCCACUGUCAUUUCACCUUAAGAAACGCAGUGUCUCGGUGGGCUCUUCAAAUUUAAUCCAGACUAUAAAAUCUGGCUCGCUGAGGAAGAGAAACAGCCCUGUGUGGCCAGUGACAAAUGACAAACGCUGCUUUCACUGUCAUGGAUUUGCAAGAAACUCUUCAUGGUUGGAACAGAACAAACCUUGUCUCUGCAAAUGCUUUCUUGACGAAAAGUAGGGCUGGAUCCAGCAAAUGAUUUAACUGUGUACAUAUAUCCGGGCAUGUGAAUAGCUUCAGUGGGACUGCUUACAUGAUCAAAGCACUUUGCUGAAUUUGGUCCAUAGCAAAUAAAUCUGAACUGAUACCCAACAAGCAGAAAAACAAGCUAAUUUGGAGUGGGGUUAAUUUAUGUCCAGUGGUGUAUUUGAUUAACUGUAAAAGGAACAUUUCAAGAGGCUGUUUUCUUUUAAAAUAGAGCUGCUGUCUGAUAUUCAGGGGAAGCAAACAAACAUCAGAUUAAAAUUUAAAUGCAUUCUUCAAACUCUUUCUUCUUAGUUUUGUUUUUCUUUUCAGUUAAUAUUUAUUUCUUGGAGCCUGAGGAGAAAUAAUUCCUGGUUGUUUCUCCUCUGUGUUUUCUAUAUCUUGCCUUGCUGUGCAUUGAGUGUGAGUGAUGUGCUGUGUUCAAUAUAGAGAAAAAUGCGAUCUCAGUCUUCAAAUGGUUGAAAUUCAAAAGACAGAUAUUCUAAGAUGGGAAAUAGGUUCUAUUUCUGUUUCACACAGCAAAUUCUGAAUACUCACAGAGACUGCAGAUUUUAAGACUCUGCUCUGUGGAAGAGAUCCAAAUGAGCUCAAAAAAGAAUUCCAAACCAAAUUCUUCCCUUUUCUAUCUGACCUGGCUAUGAAUGUUAACUCACACUAACUAGGGAAUUAGCCUUGAAUAAACAACCAGAGCAAAUUUAUUUUUGUUGUCAGUACCAGCAGUAGCUCUCCUAGUUUCUGGGUCCAGCCUAAGCACAGUACGAAUAUAUUCAGGGAUAGUUACAGUUCUGGCAGGCAAGAGACUCAAUAUUCAUGAGUGUGGCUCUUCUGUUUACUGCACAGGAAUGGGAAUCAGGUGAGCCUGGUUCUGUCUGUUCAUUAAUAAAUGGCUUUUUUCCUCUGAUUUUUCUUGAUUAGUAAAAAGUCAUCUUCCUUCAGAGAUGCACCAGUUCACUCAAAUUAGAGGAACAUGUUGAAGUCUGAAGUGGGAGAAUGUUACUGA